UUUAAAUUCCAGAUUCGGAUCGCGUAGGUGGUAAUUAAUUUAGUUAUGAUUAUUUUUUUUAGAAGUACCACACUCUGUUCAAGAUGAAUCGAAUUUGACGGAAGUGGAUGAUAAAGAUUGGAGGUUCAAAUUUGAAAAUCUGUUAUGGGUUUAUGGUUGUUUCUUGGAACUUGUUUGACCGAGUAUGAAGACGUAAGUUAGAGUUUUAGCAGUGUAUUUGAAUAUUUUCUUCAAUCUAACCAUUAUUAGAUUUCGUUAGUUUUAAUGCCUAUAAAUACCUUUCAUUAAAUCAUUUCGCUCAUCACAUAAGUUUUCUAAACACUUUCCACAAGCUCCCAAAAUUACCGAAGCUCACACACUCUUUAUUCUUAAAUAAUUAUGUUUUCUUUAUAGCACUCUCGCUAUCCUGGCUAUUAUAAUCUGCAUACAAUCAUUAUCCAGACUACCUCUCACAAAUACACACACUACUAUUAUUUACUCAUAUCAUCCACAAGCCACAGUUCCACCAUACAUCACUAUAGUUUCUACAAAUUACCAUCAUCUUAUUUUCCAUUUCAAGAUCAUCUCAUGUUAUAGGUGUGUCUUACACUAGGCUUGGGCUUAAGAAUUCUUCAUAGUCACGAAUAGGAUUCUCCUUUGAAGCUACGGUAUUUCAUAAGACAAUUAUUAUUUCUCAAGGAUCACUCUCAUUGCAAUCAAGGCUAGGACUCCACAUUCGAAAUUAAGGUUAUAAAACUUAGAAAGCCGGUGGCAAGUGAGACCUUGGAGGCUUGUGUGUGUACUCGCUGAGGACCAUAUAAUUGAGGGUGGUCUAGGGCACGCUCCAUUUAUUUUAUUUAGAGUUAUUAGAUUAAUGUCGCAGUUAUUUUUAUUUAUUAAUUAUUAUGUCUUUUAAGUCCAAACU